GGGGUUGUGGCUCAGUGGUAGAGCUCUUGCCUAGCAUGUGUGAGGCAUUGGGUUCAACUCUCUCAGCACCG
rnacentral:tRNA from 1 species